UACCGCAUAACAUAUAGUUAAGGGCAUUCCUUUGAUAUAUACAAAGCUUAAUGUGCUGAAAGAUGGUCUUGCGUCUGAUUAGCUAGAUGGCGGGGUAACGGCCCACCAUGGCGACGAUCAGUAGCCGGUCUGAGAGGAUGAACGGCCACAUUGGGACUGAGAUACGGCCCAGACUCCUACGGGAGGCAGCAGUGGGGAAUAUUGGGCAAUGGGGGAAACCCUGACCCAGCAACGCCGCGUGAAGGAAGAAGGCCUUCGGGUUGUAAACUUCUUUUAGUAGGGACGAAGAACGUGACGGUACCUACAGAAAAAGCAACGGCUAACUACGUG
rnacentral:rRNA from 1 species